UAAUACGUAGGGUGCAAGCGUUGUCCGGAAUUAUUGGGCGUAAAGCGCGCGCAGGCGGUUCUUUAAGUCUGGUGUUUAAACCCGAGGCUCAACUUCGGGACGCACUGGAAACUGGGGGACUUGAGUGCAGAAGAGGAGAGUGGAAUUCCACGUGUAGCGGUGAAAUGCGUAGAUAUGUGGAGGAACACCAGUGGCGAAGGCGACUCUCUGGGCUGUAACUGACGCUGAGGCGCGAAAGCGUGGGGAGCGAACAGGAUUAGAUACCCUGGUAGUCCACGCCGUAAACGAUGAAUGCUAGGUGUUAGGGGUUUCGAUACCCUUGGUGCCGAAGUUAACACAUUAAGCAUUCCGCCUGGGGAGUACGGUCGCAAGACUGAA
rnacentral:rRNA from 1 species